GUUACUUUUUCUUUCCUGUGGCAUAAAUGGUAACAAAAUGCAGUGACCCAACAUAGUAUUAAGUAGAAACAGCUAAUUUUUUAAGUACCUAACUUAAGCAAGAAUGUUUAACAAAGGAAAUUUAUUUUUAUCAUUAAUUAAACACUAGAUUUUUUUCCCCAGAAAACCAGAGGAGGAAAAUGAGGCUUCAUUUCUGAGGAAGAAAAACAUGAGGAAAGAGUUCCCAGAGAGAGAAGACAAAGGCAGUCGUUGUUGCAGCAGAAGCCCAAG
rnacentral:lncRNA from 1 species